rnacentral:rRNA from 1 species
ACCGACGGCGGGUGCGCGCUCCUGACGAGCGCCCAGUUCACGCCCUCGAAGAACGGGUGCUGCUUGAUCUCGGUGGCGCCCCUCUUGGUUGCGAUCCUCUUCUGGGGGUCCUUGGUGAGCAGUCCCCGGAUGAGGUCCCGCGCGACGUUGCUCACCGGCGGGCUCUCCGGGAACCGCAGCGGCUGCUCCACCACGUUGCUCAGGGUGGCGCGGUUGCCGUUGCCCUUGAAGGGCGUCAUGCCGUGCAGCAGCUCGUAG